rnacentral:rRNA from 1 species
GAUGAACGCUGGCGGCGUGCCUAAUACAUGCAAGUCGAACGCAUUGUGGUUGAAAUGAUAUGAAGAACUUGUUCAGAUUUGAUUUUCAACAUUGCAAUGAGUGGCGAACGGGUGAGUAACACGUGGGAAACCUACCUCUUAGCAGGGGAUAACAUUUGGAAACAAAUGCUAAUACCGUAUAAUAAUUAAAACCGCAUGGUUUUAGUUUAAAAGAUGGUCUUGCUAUCACUAAGAGAUGGUCCCGCGGUGUAUUAGUUAGUUAGUGAGGUAAUGGCUCACCAAGACAAUGAUACAUAGCCGAGUUGAGAAGACUGACCGGCCACAAUGGGACGUGAGACACGGCCCAUACUCUACGGAGGCAGCAGUAGGGAAGUA